UCGGGCUCCUCUGGCUCAGUGGGCUUUGGCUCCUGAAGAGCCAAAUCUAUCUCAGCAAGUGCUAGAGCUGCAUCAAGUUCCUCGCGCCACAGAACAUAGUUCUGUCCCGUCAGCUUUGGGAUUGCACUAAUGAAGUGCAUCGCAUUGAGUGCUUGGUCUGAAAUUAAAUAUGAGAAAAUAGUGAGAACAUUGACAUUAAAUCUAGAAAAAAUAAUUGCAUAUCUUAAUUUAACGUUGGUCAAAAUCAAGAUAUACAAAAAUUAACUCUCUACAUAAAUUCUAAUCACCGUUGGGCAGAAUAGAAUAAAUGCAUAAAAAUAGAACUCGGAAUUUGCAAUAUUGCUAUUAUUAACGUUGGUCAAAAAAUAACAACAUCACAAAAGAUUCUAGGCUUUAAAACUCGUGUCUCAAAUUAAAUAUCUCGUUGGUUCAAUUUAAUAUGAGAACGAAAUAAUAACUUGCGCAGCGGAAAAACAUUAAUUUACUUGCUAUUUUCAGAAGCAUAGCUAGCUGACUGUGCUUUCUAAUUAAUAUACACGUUGGUGCAAAUUAAAUAGAAUUUAAAACUGAGCUAAAUAAAUAUUUAAAUGCUUCUGAAAAUAUAAUAGAAUGUAAAAGGGAGUUACAUGCUUAGACGGGCCGCGGCCAACCAUUUGGCCCAUGGCCACUUGCGGUCCGCGGCUAGCAGCUCAGGCGCUGGCCCAGCAGCGCGCAGCGCCCAGGCCCAGUCGUUUUUUUUUGUUUGCUUCGGCUGGCGGCCCAGUAGGGGAAAUGGCCCACCCGCUCGCUCCUCCCCCGCGCCCAGGCCGCAACCUGGGCCUGGGCCGGGAAAGCUCGCCCCCGCCUGGGCCGAAAGCGGCCCAACAUCGUUUCUGGCCAAUCUCAGCCAUUGGAUGAGAUCCGACGGCUGUGCUUGGAUAUCGGGUGAUCAAAAACCCCAUCCAGCUUGCUACACCCGAAAACCCUAGCCAUUCUUGCCUGCACCCUCUCUCUCUUCUCUCUGUCUCUCUCUCUCAGCGCAUGGACAGCAGGGAGCCGCCGCCGCCGGCACCGUGCCCGGCAGCAGGGCCACCGCCGUCGCCCUCUCUCUCUUGCUUCUUGACGGCGCACAGCGCCUGCAGCAGCCGCGGCCGAGGUGGCCCGACGCCGGUGAGAAGGAGCCGCUGGUGCCUUUCUUUCUCUUUCUCUGUGCUUUUCUCCCCAGCCCACACCGCGCCCCACAGCAGAACGCUACCGGCCGGAGAAGGAGAUGGCGCCGCUAACGGGUCGCUCGCCGGUGCGCGCGCUCGCUCACUGCGGAGCGCGCCGCCGUCGAGCGUUUCGUGUGCGGUGCCCUGAGCUUGCCCGUGCGUCCCGCCCGUAAUGGAGAAACGGCCGGAGACGAGGUCGGGAUAGGUGAGUCCCAGGUAAGGGUACUCCUUCCCCUUGCUGUUUAGGGUUAGGGUUUUGAAAUCCCCUUCCCUGAUCUGGUUCUUGUGCUAGGGUUGGGGUUUUGGAUCUGAGCGCUAGGGUUAGGAAUUCGAAAAUCCUCUCCUUCUACUUGCUGUUCUUGCUGGGUAAAACCCGAAAACCCCGAUCUAUUACUAGAUCGGCUGAUACCAUUGAUAGAUCUACAGGAUCUACUAGCAAUAGGAUGAACGGGGUUUCGGGAUAAAACAAUGCAUACAGUGACAUUUAUAUAUAUGUGCAUACACUAGAUCUAUUACAAUUUAGUAGAAACAUAUAGAUCAAUAGUUUAGGGUUUCGACCGUCGUUGGCGGAAGGAGCAGAUCCGGAGACGUCCAUGGCGUGAGUGUUGGUGCUGCGCCGAUGUAGAUCACGUCGUCCUUCGGGCCUCCACCGGCACUGACCGACGACGGGGUAGGAGUAGAACGGAGGCGGCGCGGUGGUGCUUCCCGACGCCACUGCGCACUGCCGAUCGGAAG
rnacentral:lncRNA from 1 species